AUUAUUUAUUAUAACAAUAGUGAGAAGUGUAGAAUGUUUUAUUUUAUUUAGCCAUUUAUGGGCAAAUAAGGUCAUGACUGAUGUGACAAUUUUUUUCUCGUGUCAAAGCGGGACGCCUACGGAAUGUCGUUUCUAAAUAAAUAAAUAUUAUAUAGGGGUAUGUCGGGGUAAGGUGUUGUAAUAUUUAAAUGCAAAAUAAAAAAUAUGGUUUAAAAAAUGACUUGAAAUAAUUUAUUAUGGUAUCUUACCCUCACUGACAUCUAAAUCCUUACACCAACCAACUUGCCCUUAAAUUAAAAUUUAUUAAUAAUUUCUUACUACGUAAAAAACUACUUUUCUACAGCCAAAUUGUAGUUACCUUAGUAUGUAUUUUGUAAUACAAUACAUAAGGAUUCGGGAUAAGUAUGUAUUCGGUAAGUUUCUAAUAAACACAUGCACAACAGAUAAAUGAAAGCGGGACAUUUUUGUUCUUGUUGGGGACAGCAGGACGGAUAGCCUGAAAGCGGGACGUAUGGUCACGUUAGUCUUGACCCACCUGAUGUUAAGUUAAUAGAUGGUAAUUUUGGAGCUUCCGUGCUCACUUCGAAAGAUUGGGUCCCCGACUGAUGGCAGCCGCCGGCUCGCUGAGUCGGCUGUUGCCGAACGUCGGGGGUCCCGACAUGGUGGUGCGCCGCCUCUACACGGGGGUGGUGCGGUCAAUGGCACUGUACGGGGCGCCCGUAUGGUGCCACGCCCUGACCCGUGACAACGUCGCAGCGUUGCGACGUCCGCAGCGCGCGAUUGCGGUCAGGGCGGUUCGUGGGUACCGCACCGUCUCGUUUGAGGCGGCGUGCAUGCUCGCCGGGACGCCUCCCUGGGACCUGGAAGCGGAGGUGCUCGCUGCGGAUUACGCGUGGCGAUGUGAUCUCCGCUCCAGGGGGGAGCCGCGUCUCGGCGCGGCGGAAGUUCGAGCGCGGAAGCUUCAAUCUCGGCGUGCCGUGCUCGAGGCGUGGUCUCGCCGCCUGGCGGACCCCGCCUACGGGCGACGGACCGUGGAGGCGAUCCGCCCGGUCCUCUCGGACUGGGUGAAUCGCGACCGAGGACGUCUCACCUUCCGAGCGACGCAGGUGCUCACGGGACACGGCAGUUUCGGUCGCUACCUGCACCUCGUCGCCCGGAGGGAGCCGACGCCGAAGUGCCACCAUUGCAGUGGCUGCAACGAGGAUACGGCGGAGCACACGCUCGCGUGCUGCCCCGCUUUCGCGGAGCAGCGCCGCGUCCUCGUUGCAAAAAUAGGACCGGACUUGUCGCUUCCGACCGUCGUGGCUGCGAUGCUCGGCAGCGAUGAGUCCUGGCAGGCGAUGCUCGACUUCUGCGAGUCCACCAUCUCGCAGAAGGAGGCGGCGGAACGGGAGAGAGAGAACUCUUCCUCCCUCUCGGCGCCGUGCCGCCGCCGUCGAGCCGGGGGUCGGAGGAGGGCGUUUGUCCAGCUCCGGCCCCUAUGAGGAGGCAGUCUCCUCCCGGUGAUGGUCACGGGGCGACCUAAGGGGGCUGAGACUGCGCCGCACGCUACCGUCACUCUAGCGCGCUGGCACCAGGAGGACGGGACGACGCGUCGGCGGCUGCGGACUGCGAUGCGGUCCGCAUUUUCGUCGUCGCUGUCGUCGCCGAACAUAUUGUGGAAGAGCAACCCGGUCGGCGGUGUAUCGCGUUCCGACCCGGCAGGCUGGUUCUGGCUCAGCGGGGUAUCCCGGAACACCAGCGGCAUCGCCCGGGCGGCCUGAAGGGCCGCCGUACCGCGGAGACUGACGUCGUUGGUCGUCGACUAUCGCCUCGACGACCCGUCGGUCGGGCGUCCUCGGGGUGGCGCCGCGUGUCUGGUUGUAGUGUUGACCGCGAGAACCCCCCUACUCUGACCGGGUUUUGACCCCGGACGGAGAUCGGACGCCGGGUGUAAGAGUGCAGGGGAGUCGUUUAGUGGGUGGGCCCUAAAUUCCUUGGGCCCGCGGUCUGCUCUCAACACCUGCAGAUCGUUGAGUCUCACAUACCCCGCGCGCCCCCUAGGCGCGGGGACCUCGUAGGAGGUUCGGCCCUCGGCCCGGAAAAAAAAAAAAAAAAAAAUAGAUGGUAAUUGAGUUGAGCUUGUUUACCUGCCUAUCUAUCUAUCGAUUAUAAAAAAAAGAUUAUCAUUUAAUGCAUUGAAAAUUCCAAGUACAGGACAGCUUUCAGUGAAUUGUUUCAGCUUUCAGUGAAUUGAUAACAAAAAACAGCACUAGCAUUUAGGUGCAUUAGAUUUCUAGUAAACUGAGUCAAAAAAAAAACUGAGUCAGACAUACUCACUGCAUCAAUUAAUAGGCAAAUUAUUUAACCAAUUCUCUAAGAUAAUUUUACCUAAAAUUUCAUUGGAUAUAACAAACAAUAGAAAGUGUAAUUCACAAGGCUAAACUGUUAUUAUAUAGGUUUUUAAAAACAAAUGCACCGUAAUGAGGACAAAUGCUGUUAUUCUGUUUUUGUUCAAACAGAUGUCAAUUAAAUAAUCUUUGUUUAAAUCUGUACAAAUAAUUGUGUUCACUACAUGGAUUCGAUUAUUUCAUUUAUUGUCUGUGUGCUUGUUGUACCGUAUUGUUCUGCCGUAACACAUGGUGAAUGUUUGUUUUUUAUAAAUUAACAAACGGAUGAAUGUUUGGAUUUUUUAUAUGAAUCGGUCAGCAUCGUUCGGUGACCUGUCAAUGGCUGGUGCCGGGCGACCACUGCGGGGGUUCCGGCGCCGCGGAGGCGGGCCGCGGGCAGUCCGGGGAAGAUUCAGUCGCGGCGCCGGCCAGCAGUCCGGGCGCGUCACCA